rnacentral:lncRNA from 1 species
GGUUCAUGUUACCAAAUAGAAUGGAAAACAAGAGACACAACCACAAUGAGAUAAGAGGAUGGGGGACCUCACAGAAGAUGGUGAAAUGGCAUUGGGCAGUUCCCCUAUAUUAUCUCAAGAGACAAGAAAAGAACUACAGCUAUUUGAAUCCAGACUAAAAGAAGCAUUUGUGUAUCAUGGUUUCUUAAAAUACCAUUAAACUUACUUAUUUUCCCCACUUAAUUGUUUCCUGCAGGUAUUAUAGCACAAAAGGAUAAACCUUGGGAAUGGAUCUAUUUACACCAUAAGGGCCAUAAAAUACUAACUGCUUGCUUUACUCUUCUUGCU